GAUGAACGCUAGCGGGAGGCUUAACACAUGCAAGUCGAGGGGCAGCACGAGGUAGCAAUACUUUGGUGGCGACCGGCGCACGGGUGAGUAACGCGUAUGCAACCUACCCUGUACAGGGGGAUAACCCGGAGAAAUUCGGACUAAUACCCCAUAAAGGUAUUUAGAGGCAUCUUUGAAUAUUUAAAGUUCCGGCGGUACGGGAUGGGCAUGCGUAACAUUAGCUAGUUGGUAAGGUAACGGCUUACCAAGGCAACGAUGUUUAGGGGUCCUGAGAGGGUGGUCCCCCACACUGGUACUGAGACACGGACCAGACUCCUACGGGAGGCAGCAGUGAGGAAUAUUGGUCAAUGGGCGCAAGCCUGAACCAGCCAUCCCGCGUGAAGGAAGAAUGCGCUAUGCGUUGUAAACUUCUUUUCCAGGGGAAUAAAAUUUUGUACGUGUACGGAAUUGAAGGUACCCUGGGAAUAAGCAUCGGCUAACUCCGUGCCAGCCGCCGCAGUAACAC
rnacentral:rRNA from 1 species